CAGACGACAGAAUUCACUUUAAAUUAACAUUGGUUCUUAUGGGAGUGUUCACCCAUCGGCAGAAAGUUGAGCAGAAAAAAAGAACUGUUCAAAUCAGAAACGAACUGUCGUUCAUUUUGCCGUUCAUUUUAAGGCCUAUCAACACAAUGCUAUUUUGCUUUGACCGAUCACUGCUCGUGAACCGUUUUGUCGAAAAAGAACUAAUUUCGGGAUUCUGUCGACGGGAACAGACAGCUUGGAAAUAUUUUUCUGCUCUGAUCACGUGACACCGGCAGAAUAAUCUUUCUCUGCAUCAGACGCCAUGUUCUUUUUAACCUCAAUCUUUAAUAUUGUUGGAUGAUUUGUUUUGAUAUUAUUUUGCUGUUGGUUGUCAAAUUUCGGAUUGCUACUAUUAUACUGUGAAAUUAAUUUGCAGUAGAAAAUUGAGGUACCAUUUACAAACAAAAUAUUGAAGAGAAUGUGCUCAAAGGAACUGCAUAUGAAUUCAUUUUUGUUGACCAGGAUGGAAAAAUUCUUUGGAACCCAUAGAUAGAAUAAGUUAGUUAGGCCUAGUGGUGUACCAGCCAGAAGUAGAGGAUGACAAAGAAAAUCAACUAUGAAUAAUAUUCCAUGGAUAUAAUUCAUGUAUGAUGUAGUAGCCUACAGAAGAAAGAGAUGGACAAAUCUAAGAAAUAUAUUAAUUUUUUCAGUAAAUCUUGAUGUGUUUAUUUCAUGUUGUUCAUAAUAAUAUCCUCUUUGGGGGGGUUGGGCGAUCGCUCCUGCUAACUGCUUCAAUUCAGGUAGUUUAAGAAAACAGCAAGUGACAUGAAGCUAAUAAAAUAAGUUUUGAUGUUU